rnacentral:tRNA from 1 species
GGGCCCGUAGCUCAGCCUGGUAGAGCGGCGGGCUCUUACCCCGCGGAAGUCCCGGGUUCGAAUCCCGGCGGGCCCGCCA